UGGGGAAUCUUGCACAAUGGGCGAAAGCCUGAUGCAGCAACGCCGCGUGCGGGAAGAAGGCCCUCGGGUUGUAAACCGCUUUCAGAAGGAACGAAACUGACGGUACCUGCAGAAGAAGGUGCGGCCAACUACGUGCCAGCAGCCGCGGUGACACGUAGGCACCAAGCGUUGUCCGGAUUUAUUGGGCGUAAAGAGCUCGUAGGCGGUUCAGUAAGUCGGGUGUGAAAACUCUGGGCUCAACCCAGAGACGCCACCCGAUACUGCUGUGACUUGAGUACGGUAGGGGAGUGGGGAAUUCCUGGUGUAGCGGUGAAAUGCGCAGAUAUCAGGAGGAACACCAGUGGCGAAGGCGCCACUCUGGGCCGUAACUGACGCUGAGGAGCGAAAGCGUGGGGAGCAAACAGGAUUAGAUACCCUAGUAGUCCCUGAGCGGGCUGGCAAGGCGCAU
rnacentral:rRNA from 1 species